AGAGUUUGAUCCUGGCUCAGGACGAACGCUGGCGGCGUGCUUAACACAUGCAAGUCGAGCGGUAAGGCCCUUUCGGGGGUACACGAGCGGCGAACGGGUGAGUAACACGUGGGUGAUCUGCCCUGCACUUCGGGAUAAGCCUGGGAAACUGGGUCUAAUACCGGAUAUGACCAAAGGCUGCAUGGUUUUUGGUGGAAAGGUUUACUGGUGCAGGAUGGGCCCGCGGCCUAUCAGCUUGUUGGUGAGGGUAAUGGCCUACCAAGGCGACGACGGGUAGCCGACCUGAGAGGGUGACCGGCCACACUGGGACUGAGACACGGCCCAGACUCCUACGGGAGGCAGCAGUGGGGAAUAUUGCACAAUGGGCGAAAGCCUGAUGCAGCGACGCCGCGUGAGGGAUGACGGCCUUCGGGUUGUAAACCUCUUUCAGCAGGGACGAAGCGAAAGUGACGGUACCUGCAGAAGAAGCACCGGCCAACUACGUGCCAGCAGCCGCGGUAAUACGUAGGGUGCGAGCGUUGUCCGGAAUUACUGGGCGUAAAGAGCUCGUAGGCGGUUUGUCGCGUCGUCUGUGAAAACCAGCAGCUCAACUGCUGGUUUGCAGGCGAUACGGGCAGACUUGAGUACUGUAGGGGAGACUGGAAUUCCUGGUGUAGCGGUGAAAUGCGCAGAUAUCAGGAGGAACACCGGUGGCGAAGGCGGAUCUCUGGGCAGUAACUGACGCUGAGGAGCGAAAGCGUGGGUAGCGAACAGGAUUAGAUACCCUGGUAGUCCACGCCGUAAACGGUGGGCGCUAGGUGUGGGUUUCCUUCCACGGUGAUCCGUGCCGUAGCUAACGCAUAAGCGCC
rnacentral:rRNA from 1 species